GUUACAACUUAUUAACCUAUGGGGUGUAAUAGGUGUGCUUUAUCCUCAUUGGUAUUUUGGUCAAUCAACAGUGUAAAGAAUGAAGUUGAUGGAUAAAAUCAGAUUAUCAGGACGGCAAUAAGGUUUGGAGUUAAGAAGUGGUCUAAAAAUACAACCAAAAAUUUCAACCCUUGAGCAUGAGGGGAGCGUUCAAGAGCUAGCUUCUGAGAGCCUGUAAUAUAUGCCAGGUAAAAAGACCGUACCUUUCUAUUGUGCCUGGGAAGAGGUGCAGACAGCCUCCAGUGUGAACCACAGGGACACUAGGUUUCGAGGUGUGAGGGGUACCUGGAGCUGCGAGCCUGCGAGCACAGUCCCCAGCAGUACGUGGAGCAUGGGUAAGCAAGUGCUGUGGGAUCAGCCUGUGUCCACAAGAGCCACCUGCUUUUCCCAGCAAGACAGCGUGCUGUAAAGCACCGUACGAAGAAGAUCCACUGGAAGAUCCUCAGGUGGUCCUUGAUGCUGAAGAGGAGCCUACCAACGCUGCCUCUAGCACCCUUCUCACCAGCAUGGGGGCAGCAGGGUUGCUGCCAGACAGUGAGAAAAAAUUACAGCAGCCUUGGGGAAGGAAUAAAAAGGAAAAGGCAACUACUGUGCAAUAACAACUCCAACGGGGCUAGAGAUGAGGAAGUGGAGCAAAUGAGGUGCUCAACAGUACAUUUUCUCAAGUAUGUCCUGCUGUUUAUUUUAAAAAUUGCUGCUCAGAGGAAGGCCUGAAUGUGAUCAGACAGGAAAGCGGUCAGUCGAGGCUGUGAUCACAGCAGCAGCAUGAAGGCUUGUUUUUCAAUCAGUUCACUUCCCCGGUCUGACUGGUUCACGCUGUGGCCACAAACACACUCAAGCCAGUACCACACGGAGGUGCCAGAAUAGCAGGAAUGAAUGGCUGGGACCUGGGACAGGGGUGGUGUAUGCCCAGCAGUGCCACCAAAGAUAGUCGUGGGAAAUCACACCCUCAAUGUCGAUAAUUCGCUGUAGGAAGCAAGCCUUAGUGCUUACAGUUGCAUAGAUCCUUAAGCAAAGGCUUAAAGUCUAUUUGAAAAAUCAUAGCAAAAAGGUUUGACCUAAACAUAUUAAUGUUUAUCCUUAAAAGUGACCUUAAGAACAGCAUGCUGUGUGGCUUUUGCCUUAAAAAUUGUUUGGAUAUUACCUACGCAAAAGCCCUUUUAUACCGUGGCAAAAUCAAAGUUUUUUGUUUGUUUGUUUUAACUGAGUACUAUCCAGGUGGGUGGGAGACAAAAAUGUGACACUCUAAUUAUAUACUUCAUGAAAUUAUGACAUUUUCAAAGCUAGAAAAUGACUUUGUUUCAUAAACAAGUUACAGCAAAAUCAUUCUAACUUGAUUUGAUAGUUAUUAUGGACUACUGAAUUACUGACUGUAAGCAAAUGACUACAGCUUAAAGAAUCAACCUUUUCAACCUGUGACAUUUUUGCUAAAAAGUCCUUAGCUUUAGAUGCAGUGAGAAUUCACAAUCUUUCUCUAUUUAACAAGAUUUUGUUUCAUUUGAACAUUUUUAAGUCCCCUAUCAAGUGAUACCAUAACGCAUGCCAGAACUAAUGGUUUUAUUAAUUACCUUUACUUCAGGCAAAAUAAAAGGAGUAAUUAUGGCUCA